UUUAUCAUUUUAAAUAUAUUUUCAACUUCAACAUAAUAAUGUAACUUACGUCAUAUGGUUGAUAUGGUCGUAUCUAGUACAUAAUUUUUCGAUUAGGUUAUUAAUAAAACAUUCCAACAAAAUCUCAUUUUCCAUAUAAAACGAUCAUUACUUAUUACUAGACGUCGUAAUAUUAAGAAAAUCUCUCGUUGUGCCGACGCUGUUCAUUACCAUUGUCCAUUACCUGAGAAAUGUUACUCUGCUUACUAAGCGUUGGUGUUUUGAAAUGAGAGGUUGCUUUUGACCUCUUUUUCUUCGGAAAAUCAAAACGUUUCUGGUUUUCAACGUUUUUGUUUACAAGUUCUCUGUUUUCAGUUGGCACAAUUUUUCGUUUUUUUCUUCUCAACACGUCUAGAGAAACAUCCAUCUUUUUAUUCAUUACCUCCAUUUCCUCAGCAGAAUACUCAUCACAGUGUUUGGAGAAUAACCCAACAGCUACAUCCAACUUUUGAGAACAAGACAGCUUCAAUUUUUCCUAGAUAUCAUUUGUACGAUUUUGGAGUUACGAGACAUAUUGAUGAAGAAAAAAACAGAGAAAAUCAUUGUAAUUUCCAUCGACCUUGCAGCUUAAUUCAGUUCGCUUUAUGUUCACUUCUUAAUGGACCAACUGUGCAAUGGUAAUGAAAUGGCACCAACAUCUCACCACUACUAACACAAAGGUUUACACGAAGUGUAAUGUACUGGGUUUGGGAAUGGAAAUUGUCAUGCGCGGGUUACCCUAGGUUACCCGCUCGGAGAGAGGGGAAGAUAACAACGACAAACCAGAUGACGCGCCUCCUCUCGCCUCUUCUUCGCAAGUCACGCAUGCGCACUUCCAUUCCCAAACCCAGUACAUUAGACUUCGACGACUUCGUGUAAAACUUUGUGUUAGUAGUGGUGAGAUGUUGGUGCCAUUUCGCGUUGUAUUCCAUAUACACAGUUGGUCUAUUAGAAGGGACAACGAUAUUAUUUACAAGGUCGAUGGUAAUUUCUAUGCGAAAGUGUGAUAACAAGAAAACGUUUCUAUUGGCUAUGAAAUAGAGCGUUUUCAUUGGAUGCUCAUUCGAGAGCUGGAGACGCUCGUCUAUUACCUAAUUCGCGGCUCUAGUUGCUGUAAGAAAAUCGAACGUUUAUGCACGUCGAUUCUAUUUUUAAGUAGGUACUUUAGUAGGUUACGAUAACGUUACCCGUACCGAUUAUCAAAAUACUGUUUUCGUUUAGUUAUAAGUCUCGCAUUCGUGCGUUAUUGUAUAUACGUUAUUCCUGUUUUUAUAUUCUUCGAAUAUAGUCGUUAAAUAUGAAGUCUCUUUAUUUAAUUAAUU